UGCUCAGGAUGGGUCUUCGCCUCCUCGUUGGUGAUGACGUACCUCGUGUAGGGCAUCGGGCCUCGGGUUGAAUUUUGAACAUGAAAUGUCCUGAUACACUGUGCUAACCUGUGACGCCACCCAUUGCCAAGCUUCAUUGGUGACAGCCCCGCUCUGCUGCCCAGAGCCGAUAAGAAACACCACCC